rnacentral:rRNA from 1 species
AGAGUUUGAUCCUGGCUCAGGAUAAACGCUGGCGGCGUGCCUAACACAUGCAAGUCGAACGCCCUACGCAAGUAGGGAGUGGCGGACGGGUGAGUAACACGUGGGUGAUCUACCCUCAGGUGAGGAAUACCGGCGAGAAAUCGCCGACAAGACCGCAUAGCCUCAGGAGACUGAGGAAAGUCGUAAGACGCCUGAGGAUG